CAAGAAGUAGUUUAAGUAGAAUAUCA
rnacentral:ncRNA from 3 species